CCUACGGGGGGCUGCAGUGGGGAAUAUUGGACAAUGGGGGCAACCCUGAUCCAGCCAUGCCGCGUGUGUGAAGAAGGCCCUCGGGUUGUAAAGCACUUUCAGUGAGGAAGAACGCCUGGUGGUUAAUACCCAUCAGGAAAGACAUCACUCACAGAAGAAGCACCGGCUAACUCCGUGCCAGCAGCCGCGGUAAUACGGAGGGUGCGAGCGUUAAUCGCAAUUACUGGGCGUAAAGCGCGCGUAGGUGGCUUGAUAAGCCGGUUGUGAAAGCCCCGGGCUCAACCUGGGAACGGCAUCCGGAACUGUCAAGCUAGAGUGCAGGAGAGGAAGGUAGAAUUCCCGGUGUAGCGGUGAAAUGCGUAGAGAUCGGGAGGAAUACCAGUGGCGAAGGCGGCCUUCUGGACUGACACUGACACUGAGGUGCGAAAGCGUGGGUAGCAAACAGGAUUAGAUACCCCGGUAGUC
rnacentral:rRNA from 1 species